rnacentral:rRNA from 1 species
UACGGAGGGGACUAGCGUUGUUCGGAAUUACUGGGCGUAAAGCGCACGUAGGCGGCUUUGUAAGUUAGAGGUGAAAGCCCGGGGCUCAACUCCGGAAUUGCCUUUAAGACUGCAUCGCUCGAAUUGUGGAGAGGUAAGUGGAAUUCCGAGUGUAGAGGUGAAAUUCGUAGAUAUUCGGAAGAACACCAGUGGCGAAGGCGACUUACUGGACACAUAUUGACGCUGAGGUGCGAAAGCGUGGGGAGCAAACAGG